AUGGGUCCACUCGUGCUGAGCCAAUUAGCCACCGGUCUAAGCGUCCUAGCCGGAGCGGUUCUCGUUAAAUCGGUUUUGGACCAAAAACCCAUGGCGGGCCAAUUUCCCAGAUGCCCCAGCUGCAACGGAACCGGUCGAGUCCCUUGUCUCUGCUCACGCUGGUCUGACGGUGAUGUCGGUUGUAGUACGUGUUCCGGUUCGGGUCGCAUGGGUUGCAGCAGUUGUGGUGGGUCCGGAACCGGUCGACCCUUACCUGCUAGAAUUACAGUACGACAACCGAACCGCCCAUCCUAG